rnacentral:rRNA from 1 species
GCGAACGGGUGAGUAACACGUGGGCAACCUGCCCAAAAGAGGGGGAUAACACUUGGAAACAGGUGCUAAUACCGCAUAACCAUAGUUACCGCAUGGCAACUAUGUAAAAGGUGGCUAUGCUACCGCUUUUUGGAUGGGCCCGCGGCGCAUUAGCUAGUUGGUGGGGUAAAGGCUUACCAAGGCAAUGAUGCGUAGCCGAACUGAGAGGUUGAUCGGCCACAUUGGGACUGAGACACGGCCCAAACUCCUACGGGAGGCAGCAGUAGGGAAUCUUCCACAAUGGGCGAAAGCCUGAUGGAGCAACGCCGCGUGGGUGAAGAAGGUCUUCGGAUCGUAAAACCCUGUUGUUAGAGAAGAGAGUGCGUGAGAGUAACUGUUCACGUUUCGACGGUAUCUAACCAGAAAGCCACGGCUAACUACGUGCCAGCAGCCGCGGUAAUACGUAGGUGGCAAGCGUUAUCCGGAUUUAUUGGGCGUAAAGGGAACGCAGGCGGUCUUUUAAGUCUGAUGUGAAAGCCUUCGGCUUAACCGGAGUAGUGCAUUGGAAACUGGGAGACUUGAGUGCAGAAGAGGAGAGUGGAACUCCAUGUGUAGCGGUGAAAUGCGUAGAUAUAUGGGAGAACACCAGUGGCGAAAGCGGCUCUCUGGUCUGUAACUGACGCUGAGGUUCGAAAGCGUGGGUAGCAAACAGGAUUAGAUACCCUGGUAGUCCACGCCGUAAACGAUGAAUGCUAAGUGUUGGAGGGUUUCCGCCCUUCAGUGCUG